CGGUGUAGUGAAAGUAGCAGAUCCCACAAUGGUAUUUGCCUUCUGGUGUUUCAACUCUUUUUCGUAUUACGUAUGAGAUGUAAUCAUCUUGAUUCCAAUAGUUUGUAUCAGAUGGAGUGUGAAGAUUUGUUGGUGGACAUUGAUAUUGAUUCCUGGAAGGGAGCCUUGGAGCAACGGGUUCACGGGUUCGAACUAAAGGCCACGGUUUGUAAAGUUGUAAAGUUGUUCCGUGUGACUUGUAACUCAUGGGUUCGAGCCGUAGAAUUAUCCAUUAAUGCUUGCAUUAAGGUUGACUGCCUACAUCACACCCCCUUGGGCUGUGGUCCUUUCCCGGAUCCUGCAUAAACGCGGGAUGUUUCGUGCACCGGGUCGCCC
rnacentral:lncRNA from 1 species